rnacentral:misc_RNA from 1 species
AAGUCGUAACAAGGUUUCCGUAGGUGAACCUGCGGAAGGAUCAUUGACGAAGCAUGUGGUGAAGGGUUGUCGCUGGCUUCCUUUCAGGAGCGCAAGUGCACACCUGGAUCACUCAUCCAUUUACACACCCGUGCACAAUCCGUGGGCUUGGCUCGGGAUCACCAGAGAAGCAAUGCCAAUACGGUAGGCUUUCUUUGGCUCCUUGCUGUCCCCCACCUCCUUUUAUCAACCCUUCUCAAGUAUCAGAACGUUUGUUUCAUGUGUGUCAUUGUCACACGAAUGCACAUAACUUUCAGCAACGGAUCUCUUGGCUCUC